rnacentral:rRNA from 1 species
AUGCAAAGCAAAGGGAAGAAGUGGCGGAGUGAAAGAAAAUUGGACCAAAAGGACGGAUUUAGUGGGUCUGAGGUGUCGGAGUCCAACUGUUGUCCGGACUCCGGCAACCCACCCCCAGUUUAUCUCCACAUUGCAGGAGAAAGCGCGUCCGGACCGCCGAGCGAACCGAUACAGGACUGCGUUGUAUGGCUUCCGCGGUCCGGACCGCGGGGUCCAGACGUAUGCGGGCGGUUUGAGGAUUGGUGUUGGAGAUGCCCUAAGAAAAUCUGUAAUUGUUGUGAUGAACUUAUUUUCUGUAUUUGUUUGUUGGAAGCAAUCACAGACUUAAAAAACGAAAAUAGAGUUUUCAAUGUAUUUAUUAUGGGAACCAUCAAUUUCUAUAUUUCAUGGCAGCAAAUCAUGACUUACCAAAAACAACAGAAAAUGGAGAUGCGUAAAUUUUGGAAAGCAGUUUUCAAUUUGGACCGCUAUCUCGCCAUCCGCUGGUACCCGCUUACCAAAAACAACAAAAACAACAGGGUUCAAGGCGGCUCACCCGCUGCUACCCGCUAA